ACUGGGUAGGUAAGAAUAUAUGAA
rnacentral:piRNA from 1 species